rnacentral:rRNA from 1 species
UACGUAGGGCGCAAGCGUUGUCCGGAAUUAUUGGGCGUAAAGAGCUCGUAGGCGGCCAGUUGCGUCCGCUGUGAAAUCCCGGGGCUUAACCCCGGGCGUGCAGUGGAUACGGGCUGGCUGGAGGCAGGCAGGGGAGAACGGAAUUCCUGGUGUAGCGGUGAAAUGCGCAGAUAUCAGGAGGAACACCGGUGGCGAAGGCGGUUCUCUAGUACGGUACUGACGCUGAGACGCGAAAGCGUGGGGAGCGAACAGG